UCAUUGCUUUAGCAUUAUUCAGUUGCUCACUUGCUUCCUUGAUGUCCAGUGGUUAGAGAGAACCUUCCAUGAUGUGGAAAUACACAAAAGAUCACCUUAAAUCUUGGAGCUUCUAGGAUUUAGUAGUGGAAUUCCGAGAUAAGAAUUUAACACUGGACGUUCUAGGAGUGCUAGCGCCAAAUGAGCUAGCUGAUCUUGUUCCAGAUGUUCUAAGGAGAUCUGAAUUUUGGAGAAACUUCUAGUCAUGGAAUGACGAUUUCAAAAAAAUGGAGAACAGCCGGAAUUCAUCGCCACUAGUUGACUUCAGAGCAAUUGUAGAUCCAGAGCUAUAUGAUCCAGAUACCAGUGUAACAAGCAUUGGAGCCUCAGAGUUUGAAAUGGAAAGGAUGAUAAGGAGUGAGCCAGCAUCAUGUAUCAGCACUCCAAUCAGUAUUAUGUUUUAACUACAGAAAAAUUAAUAUUUUCAUAGUGACUUGGUAAUCUUUGGAAGUUUUAUAUAUUAAUAUUAAUUUCUUAAUCUUGAAUUUAUUUUUUUUAUUUUUGAUGAAAUUUGUAUUUCAUGACAACCAUUAUGUUCUACCUACAGAAAAAUGGAUAUUUUCUUAGUGACUUGGUAAUCUUUGGAACUUUUGUAGUAUUAUACUUGAGUAUAAAUGACAUAUUGUGAAUUGUCUGAAUAAUAAGGUAAACUGUUUCUGUUUUCUUUUUAAAUAUACACUGUC